GGCGGCUAAAAGCGGCUGACAGCUGACAGAGCCAUUACUGCGUCGUACCUGGGCCAACGCUCCAGCGGAAAUUUCGAAAGGUCCCUUCGGAUCGCCCCGAUUUGAAAAGACUCCAGCACGCGCGCAUUAAAUGCCAGAAUAUCUGAGGGCGAUCGUGCACAGGAUUCAAGGGGACAACUUCGACUGUGAAAAUUUCUCUGUACUUCCUUCAUUCGAAACUCAAACUCGGAAGUAGGGGGACUGGUGUUGGGUAUAA
rnacentral:lncRNA from 1 species